UAAUCAACCUGUAGUCGCCGCCACCAUCGCCAACAUGGCCACGUGCUAGACGUGUUUACGUGAACUGCGUCAUCUUUCGUAUUUUUCUUGUUCAUAUACCAAAGUGUUAGCUGUGAGAUUACAGUGUUGGGUAUCGGGUAUAGUCAUAUGAUGCGCGUGUGGUGACUAGCAGUCAUUAACGUGCUCCUUGUGGGCAUGGCGGGUGUGGACGUGUCUGUACCACGGUGCACCUGCAACGUCAAGGAUUUGACUACCUGUUCCGCUGUCAAUCAGGAUUCACCCACGAGUAGAGCCGUAAGAAGUUAUAGACCACAUGGGGGCCUCGCCAGGUUACUUUAUGAUAAGCAGAAGGCGGAUGAACAGCUCGAAGCGUACGACAAAACCCAGUGGUACAAAAUAGACAGAACGAAAGUCCGAGAAGAUUUGCUGCGUUUAUGGAUUCCCCUUGGAACAGGACUCCAGCACGAUCAACCCGACAAAACCGCCGAAACCUUCCUAAUGAAAUCCAUCGAGAGAUCGGACUCUUUACCAUUGCAAGCCUGGCACUCUCUGGCAAGGUCUGCUCUGUCCUGGUUCAUCAGCCGAACUUCCAUAAACGGGCUGCUCGGCCGCGGCUCCAUGCAUGUCUUUUCCUGCGAACAGUUUCAAAAAUUUAUGGCAGCGAGCGGCUUUACAGGGCCGUGGCAUUCGUUGGUGGAUUUAGGAGCUGGCGACGGUGCCACCACUGCUCAUGUAGCCCACCUCUUUGAAAAAGUUUACGCCACAGACAUAUCAGCACCGAUGAGAUGGGCUCUGGCGAGAAGGAAGUUCACGGUGUUGGACGUAGAAAAAUGGCACGAAAGCGGCCCGUUCGACGUAAUCCUCUGCCUGAAUCUUUUGGAUCGUUGCGAUCGACCUAAUACUCUACUUCGCCGUCUGAAAUCAUCUUUGGCUCCGGGUGGACGUCUAGUCGUAGCGCUGGUUCUUCCCUUCAGCCCUUACGUGGAAGUUGGUGAAAGGGGUGACCACAAACCGUCGGAAUAUCUACCAGUAAAAGGGAACGGUCUAGAAGGUCAAAUAGCCAGCCUCGUCGACAGAGUUUUCGCACCAUUGAGCCUAAGGUGUCUCGUAUGGAGCAAACUGCCUUACCUCUGCGAGGGAGACCUCGGCCAGGCGUAUUACUUUCUCGACGACGUAAUAUUCGUGCUAGAGGCACAGCCAGAUAGCUCGCGAUACUCAGCUUCCGAAUGGAUGGAUACGGAACCGUCUGGAAAAGAAUGGCCGAACAUGUUCGAACAACAGACUUAUCAAGAACAGAAAUGUAAUACAGGCAAGUCACACUUGUAAAAACUUUAAUGAUUGCUGUUCAUCGGUUAGAAUUAUGCAAGAAUACAGAAGAGCAAUACUGGCAAGCGACAACGAGCUUAAUGUGCAAAUACAGCGGUAGCAUUGGUGUAUUAUAAUUCAUCAUUCAUUAAUCGAUUGUCCAUUUAUGCGACUUGAUAAAUGAACAACGACAGUGCGCAUCUUACAACGAUCUCUUACUGUCAAAGUCAGAAGGUGCAGAAAACUUGUACACGGUUCCUAUUGAUAAUAAAUAUGACGCGAGAGCGAUAAAACUUGGAAACUGGAUUCUGAACAACAGUUCAUACGGCUUGCGACUCUAUCUCGCAUACACCUAAAACGUUUAAUUUGUCUCGAGACUCGGUUUUUUGUACCUUUUAUCAUCAGACUUUGUUUCCGUGCUCCCUCUUACUUCUUUCUUCUCAUUUUUUUUUUCGCUUUUUUCUUUCAUUUUUUUUUUUUUUUUUUCUUUUUUUUUAAUUUGGCAUACAAGUAGCGACUUAGUCAUGGAUAUGCUUAGUCGUGUCGACACUUCGACAACAAGACAAACGAUGAUACGUUUCGCGUUAGUCUCGUAAUAGCUACUAGAAGAAAUAGUUCCAUUUAGUUGUUGUUGCAAAUACACUUUGGCGUGUAACAGGUAAAUCGUCAAAAAUUACUUAGAUGAUAUUGCAGCAGCUUUGCUUUUAAGAUUCAUGUCGAUUAACAAAAAAACAAGGGAUAUACAGGACUUAAAUUUCGGUGAUAUUUCAGAUUGCAUGCGUUGCUCAGUGUAUAACAUUCUGUGUGCCAAAUGUGGAUGAUCCGUAACUGAAAACACAACCUGUACCUGUUUUGUCCACUAAUCUCAAGCAUAAAUCAGAACACCAGAAACCGUAAAAUCGAUUUGUUCCUAGUAAUUUCAACAAUUUCACAGACAACAUUGAUUUGAAACCUAUGUCGAUUCUUGAGACAGGAAUAUGUGGAGGUGGCAGGAAACUCCUUAGCGACUGUACAAGCUGUAUUGUAUCCACCAGCGCUGUAACAAAACCAACACAAAACAUAUACAUUUCAUUUUCAUCAAUGGAGAAAAAUUUGCGUGAUCUAAAAAGUAGUCAAAGAAAGUCACAGUAUUUAAUAUCUAAUAACAUCACGCAUCGAUAUUAUGUAAAAUAUAAAUAAUUUAUAAGAAGAAUCUAUUUGUAAACCUAAUGGAAAUAUUAUAUUAAAAGAUAAAUCAUGAUAA